ACUCAAAUGAAUUGACGGGGACCCGCACAAGCAGUGGAGCAUGUGGUUUAAUUCGAGGGUACACGAAGAACCUUACCAAGGCUUGACAUCCCAGGAAGGCCCUAGAAACAGGGCUGUGCCUUCGGGAACCUGGUGACAGGUGUUGCAUGGCCGUCGUCAGCUCGUGUCGUGAGAUGUUGGGUUAAGUCCCGCAACGAGCGCAACCCUUGUCGUCUGUUGUAUUUUUCAGACGAGACUGCCCCGGCCAACGGGGAGGAAGGUGGGGAUGACGUCAGGUCAGCAUGACCCUUACCGCCUUGGGCUACACACGUGCUACAAUGGCCGGUACAACGCGUCGCGAAAGCGCAAGCUGGAGCUAAUCGCAUCAAAACCGGUCCCAGUUCGGAUUGAGGGCUGCAACUCGCCCUCAUGAAGUCGGAAUUGCUAGUAACCGUAGGUCAGCAUACUACGGUGAAUACGUUCCCGGGUCUUGUACACACCGCCCGU
rnacentral:rRNA from 1 species